GAUGAACGCUGGCGGCGUGCCUAAUACAUGCAAGUCGAGCGAACGGACGAGAAGCUUGCUUCUCUGAUGUUAGCGGCGGACGGGUGAGUAACACGUGGAUAACCUACCUAUAAGACUGGGAUAACUUCGGGAAACCGGAGCUAAUACCGGAUAAUAUUUUGAACCGCAUGGUUCAAAAGUGAAAGACGGUCUUUCUGUCACUUAUAGAUGGAUCCGCGCUGCAUUAGCUAGUUGGUAAGGUAACGGCUUACCAAGGCAACGAUGCAUAGCCGACCUGAGAGGGUGAUCGGCCACACUGGAACUGAGACACGGUCCAGACUCCUACGGGAGGCAGCAGUAGGGAAUCUUCCGCGAUGGGCGAAUGCCUGACGGAGCAACGCCGCGUGAGUGAUGAAGGUCUUCGGAUCGUAAAACUCUGUUAUUAGGGAAGAACAUAUGUGUAAGUAACUGUGCACAUCUUGACGGUACCUAAUCAGAAAGCCACGGCUAACUACGUG
rnacentral:rRNA from 1 species